rnacentral:lncRNA from 1 species
CCGUCACCGGCUCGCCCGCCUUCGCCGGCUCGCCUGCCGCGGUCGGGUAGCCGGAUGAGGCCGGGUAAGCGGUCGCUGGCGCGUCGGCCUUGCCGCCGGUGGGCGGGUACGCGCCGCCGGGAGGUGGGUACGCGUCGGCCUUGGCUGCCGGCGGGUAUGCGGCAGGAGGUGGGUACGCGUCGGCCUUUCCUGAAGGAGGCGGGUAGGCGGCGGCGGGAGGCGCGUACGCGUCAGCCUUACCGGACGGCGGCGGGUACGCAGAGGGAGGCGGGUACGCGGCGGCCUGGGUGUAUGCGGACUGGGCGGGGGCGUAGCCGUUGGCGGCGGCCGCGGACCGAGUGACCUCGCCGAGCUUGUACGACAGGUUGAGGACUCCCUGGGGCUUGCCAGAGGAGAUCUUGCGGACCUGGUAGGCGACGAACUUGGCGGGGACGGGGCCGUCGGAG